UACGUAGGGCGCAAGCGUUGUCCGGAAUUAUUGGGCGUAAAGAGCUCGUAGGUGGUUUGUCGCGUCUGCUGUGAAAAUCCGAGGCUCAACCUCGGACUUGCAGUGGGUACGGGCAGACUAGAGUGUGGUAGGGGAGACUGGAAUUCCUGGUGUAGCGGUGGAAGUGCGCAGAUAUCAGGAGGAACACCGAUGGCGAAGGCAGGUCUGCUGGGCCAUUACU
rnacentral:rRNA from 1 species